GAAAACUGAGGGCGGAACAGGCGGCCGCCACCGGAGAGCAUCAGCUCGAUUAGGAGAUGUGGGAUUGUCACCCCACCUUUUUC
rnacentral:ncRNA from 12 species